GAUGAAGAACGCAGCGAAAUGCGAUAAGUAGUGUGAAUUGCAGAAGUACCGUGAAUCAUCGAAUCUUUGAACGCAAAUUGCACUCUCUGGUAUUCCGGGGAGUAUGCCUGUUUGAGGGUCGCUUAACAAACCAUCGAUUUCGUUGCUUUUUUUUUAAAAAAGUGAUGUUUAUCGGAUUUGAGCCGUCUUUUUUUUUUUAUAUUUAAGUGGCUUAAAAUUGAUUUUUUUUGGUACGAUCGAAGCGUAUUUUUAUGAUCAAUUUUUGGUUAAAGAAACGCACACGUACCGUUAUUUAUAUGAUGUAAUACGUUUGACUAUCGGAUUUAGUUCAUUCGUAUACGAUAUUUUUCAAUAUUUGACCUCAAAUCAGGUAAGAACACCCGCUGAACUUAAGCAUAUCAAUAAGCGGAGGA
rnacentral:misc_RNA from 1 species